rnacentral:rRNA from 1 species
UGGGGAAUUUUGGACAAUGGGGGAAACCCUGAUCCAGCCACCCCGCGUGUGCGAUGAAGGCCUUCGGGUUGUAAAGCACUUUUGGCAGGAAAGAAACGUCGCGGGUUAAUACCCCGCGAAACUGACGGUACCUGCAGAAUAAGCACCGGCUAACUACGUGCCAGCAGCCGCGGUAAUACGUAGGGUGCAAGCGUUAAUCGGAAUUACUGGGCGUAAAGCGUGCGCAGGCGGUUCGGAAAGAAAGAUGUGAAAUCCCAGAGCUUAACUUUGGAACUGCAUUUUUAACUACCGGGCUAGAGUGUGUCAGAGGGAGGUGGAAUUCCGCGUGUAGCAGUGAAAUGCGUAGAUAUGCGGAGGAACACCGAUGGCGAAGGCAGCCUCCUGGGAUAACACUGACGCUCAUGCACGAAAGCGUGGGGAGCAAACAGGAUUAGAUACCCUGGUAGUCCACGCCCUAAACGAUGUCAACUAGCUGUUGGGGCCUUCGGGCCUUGGUAGCGCAGCUAACGCGUGAAGUUGACCGCCUGGGGAGUACGGUCGCAAGAUUAAAAACUUAAAUGAAUUGAACGGGGGUCAUAGCUGUUUCCU